rnacentral:lncRNA from 1 species
AAUUUGGUGUCUCCUUGGCUUCCCGGUGGGAAGCAGGAGGGGCAGCAUGCCACGCUUCGCUGCUGGCCUCGGGUUCUGGUCCUGUGUGUGCUCUUAUUCUGGAGAGAAAGCUUAAAACACACCCGAACCAGGACACCAGUGUUUGCUCCUAGUCAGGCUGCCGAUGGACGGUGCCGCUCUUGCCGUCGGACUCCUGCUCUGUUUAACAACGUGCCGAGGGACGUCUAGAAAGCCCUGGACAGAUGGGAGCUGGCUUGCUGCGUGGUGGAGGCUGCACCUUCCUUUCCCUCCGUGCAGCGGUGUUGAUGCUGUCCUCAGAGCCCAGGGAUUUUCAUCGUUUUCUUCUGAUGCCAGAUUGAAAAAGAGUCGUCAGGCUGUGAUGGUGGUGGGUUGUCCAAGAUGCUAAGGAUGUGACGACAGGCGAAACUGCCGGAUGAUGCGGGCUGGGGUGAGCACCCGGGCUGGGAGCAAAGCCAAGGAGCGACGCCGGCACUUCGGACGGGCUUGGGAUUUGCCUUCAGCCUCCGCGGCGUGGAUAAAGCUGUUCCGAAGUGCAGCGUCCACAGGAGGUAACUUCUAAUUACUUCAAUGUAAACACACGUUUCUGGCUCUUUGGCUUCAGCGAGUGGAUUUAUUCUCUGCAGAGGGAUGAAGCAAAGGCAGUAAAUAACUCUCAUAGGCUGCAGCUGGAUGGCUGGACCUGGAAAGGUCUCUGAGCGUUGAGAGGGAGCGAAAGAGAUUGAUUUAUGAUUUUAACAAGCCUGGCUGGGUAGGGAACCGUGCCUAUAUGGUUUCAAAGUCAGGAAGAGAGAUUAAUCAAAAUUAAAGCUGCUCUGAGAAGGCAUCGGAGCCAGUGGGCUCCUUCCAGGCUAACCGACGACACAAGUAAAGCACAGUUGUCCCUACAGAGACAGUCAAAGGACAGCUUAGGUGAAGGGGUCUAAAUAUUUAAUACCAGAUGGGGAAGCAGAGGAUCGGCGCAAAGAGUGUAAUGAGGAAUAAUCGGGAGCUGUUAGAAGGACUGCGGCUUGUCCCUCUUCAUUAGGAACUGUGCAAAGAGAAAAUGAUUAAUAGGAACAAGCGAACGAGAAGCAGCAGUGACAUUUUGGGCGCUGCAGACGGGAAUCGUGUGCUGGCAAGGGUCGGAGCGGCUUGGCUGGAGAGCGAACGUGUGCCCAGGAG